rnacentral:lncRNA from 1 species
AGAAAAAAAGAAAGGUAUGUGUGUUGACAAAAGUCAAGAAAAAAAUGCACUCUCCUGAGUCAAAAGGAGUUGGCAAUGGAUUGCGUGAUGUUUAAUUGCUCAGGGUGGAUGAGGAAGAGAGGGGAGAGAGAAGGAUGUGUUCUUCCCGAGGCAGAGGGCGGUUUAUUUGCUGUAUUUUGUAAGUGUUUCAGACUACCCAAAAGCACAGUGCCGCUUCUUACCUUGCCUUUCCUGGAGGAAAAGACGGGAACAGAAACAUGAAAAGAAGAAAAGAAAAAGAGGGCAGGAAAGAAACGAACAUUCUCUGGCAGGUAAGUGGCAAGGGCACUGGUGCAGCCCUGGCCGUCAUUGUCUUCCGCGCGUGCCGUGUCACAGCCGUCAUAUUAGGUUGCCACGGCAGGGUGCACGCAAAACGGGGAGAGAGCGAGGCAGACGACGCUGCGCCACCACCUGCACAUUUCAGAUUGUUGGCAGCCCUAACACUCAUCCUAGUAAGGAUGAAAAAAGAAGCAACUGCCAUGAUUUGCUCUUCCGCAAGAACCUUGUAAUCCAACAGCCCAAGGCAAAAAAGGCGAGAGGAAGUACUAUGACCUUCAGUAUCCAGAGGCGGCCCAGAGAGAACUACAGAAUCAUGCAGAAUCCGAAGACUCAUUUGCCUGGGAAAUGCCAGAACUAUUGUCUACAAUGCCAGUGGUCUAUAAACCUUGCAGUGUAAGGUCACAGUAUUGGCACGUUACAGGAACUUUGUUUUGGCCAUGGAAGCCUGACUCAACAUAACUGUAUAGAGUUUAAGAACAUAGGUUCUAAAAUAAAACAGCCUGGUUUCAAAUCCUGCCACCACAUUAUACAAAUUGUGGGAUAUUGAGCAAGGCGCUUCAUUUCUUUAAGUGCAGUAUAAUCAUUUGUAAAAUGAAACUACUAAGAAUCCCUUCCUCAUGGAGUGUUGGAAGGACUGGAAUCAAUGCGUAUGUAAAACUCAGAC